rnacentral:rRNA from 2 species
UACGAAGGGGGCGAGCGUUGUUCGGAAUUACUGGGCGUAAAGGGUGUGUAGGCGGUUAUGUAAGAUAGCGGUGAAAUCCCGGGGCUUAACCUCGGAAUAGCCGUUAUAACUAUGUAGCUAGAGUUAUGGAGAGGAUAGCGGAAUACCCAGUGUAGAGGUGAAAUUCGUAGAUAUUGGGUAGAACACCGGUGGCGAAGGCGGCUAUCUGGCCAUAUACUGACGCUGAGGCACGAAAGCAUGGGGAUCAAACAGG